UACGAGGGGGGCAAGCGUUGUUCGGAAUUACUGGGCGUAAAGGGCUCGUAGGCGGCCAACUAAGUCGGAUGUGAAAUCCCCAAGCUUAACUUGGGAACUGCAUCCGAUACUGGAUGGCUUGAAUCCGGGAGAGGGAUGCAGAAUUCCAGGUGUAGCGGUGAAAUGCGUAGAUAUCUGGAGGAAUACCGGUGGCGAAGGCGGCAUCCUGGACCGGCAUUGACGCUGAGGAGCGAAGGUCAGGGGAGCAAACGGG
rnacentral:rRNA from 1 species